AGCUUUGCGCAGUGGCAGUAUCGUAGCCAAUGUGGUUUAUCCAAAGUGCGAUUAUUGCUGAUUGAAAAGAAAGUUAAAAAAAAUUUAAAAAAACAAACUACGGCUGGGCACAAUGGCUCACGCCUAUAAUCCAUCACUGUGG